rnacentral:rRNA from 1 species
AUGAGCCCGACCGCAUUAGUGUUUCCGCAUGUCCGGCGUGCAUUCAACGAGCCCGAUCAUACCACACGCCGUGGCUUACUGCAACACACACCCCCUAAGCCACGGCUUAAAGGAGUCCGUCGUCGUCGACGUUGGCGCCGGCCAAGAGAGCCUGUUCCGCCGCCGGUCCUUUCCGCAGCUGCGGGCACUCGUGUCGGAAGUGCCCGUGCUCCCCACACUUGUAGCAGCGUCUGCGCCUGUUGCCGCCGCUCCUCGACGCCACGCAGCGCCUGUCGUCGUCGUCCCGUGCUCCGCCGUGCUGUCGCUCCUGCGCCCGCCACUACGUCGCCGUGA